AAGGCACUUUAGGGGUGUUUCCCGGGAACUAAAACAACCGGGAAGCUGAGAUGAGACCCUCAGACCUGAUGCAGUUCAUACUGCCGUAGGAAAAAGUUACCUGACCUGA
rnacentral:ncRNA from 2 species